UAAACAAUAGUGCUCAAAUGUAGGAUCUUCCGUGCAAUUUAUCAUCGCUUCUAGUUACAAGCUGUGAUUGGCUACAUUUUUAACCAAAUCAAAGAUGCAACAUAUCAACUUUAAUGACUGUUAGAUAUGAUAAAUAGAUUAGGUAGAUAUGAGUGGGUUUAAUUUUCAUCACUUUUACUUGUGAAAAUUGUGAAAUGCUAGAUGUCAGUGUAUCAGUACAUUUAAUUCAGUCAUUUUUUUUCCUGUAAAAACCAAAUAGAGGUAAGUUAAUUUUAGAAAUACCUGUAUUUAAAAAUUCAUAUUAAUGAACGAUACCCUUUAUUUGUGUAGUAAACAUAUUGAGCUACAAGAAGUUAAAGGUCAGCAUGUUAUCACGACUGUUGAGUUAACAAAGGUGUUGUACCCGGUGAAAUUUUUUUCUACAUGAUAUCACUUCAGAAAUGGAUUUGAUCAAAUUAUUAUGUAAACUUAAUAUUUACUUAACAAUAAUGAAUGAUCAGAAUAAACUUUAUCUACGCAAUAUACUUAAACAUUAGUCAGGAUAUAUUGGAUGUCACUUACCAUAUACAUUUACAUUAUCAAUCAAUUAUUGUAAGGUGCUGAACAAUGAUAAACAACAAUGUGUCAUUAUCAUCAAGUUAAAAUAGAACAUUUCAAUCCUUAUGUACUGGGGUAUACUCAAAUAAGUUCUGAUUGAUUGUAAUUCUUGCCAAUUCUUUAUAGAGUUACAUAUACAGAGAAGAGUGUUUGAUUUUGUAUAAAUAUUGAGUUAAGACUUGGAAAUGUUUUGAUCUCUACUUCUACUCCCAUAACUUUGCUGUUUCAAAUACUCAAAUUCCAGUUAAUCAUAACUGUAAAGUACAUCGUGAAAAGUGGAAGGUUGUGUGCACGAUAUGCUUUGAUCAUAUUUCGGAUCAUACAGCUUGUGUCAACCAUCUAUUAACUUAUAAGCUGGGACUGAUCAUUUUCUUACAUUGAGUAAUGUCAUAAAAACAGUAUUUCUCUCCAGCGGACAAUAUACAUGUAUGUUGUUUUGUUUUUUUUCCCUCGACAUUCUAGAAUUUAGUAUUACACAAAUUGACCCUCCCAUCCACGUAUCCAUUCAUGGAAGGAUUAUAAAUCCAAGUUUCACCAUUUUUGCCUGUAAGCUGAUUUUUGUUUUAAACAUAUCAACCCAACAGUCAUAUGAAUAAGAUGUAUAUAUAUAUAUUGACUUGGGUUUGGAAUAUGUAUGAAGCUAUCUUAUGUCUAUAGUGAAGACAGAGUUAAGUUCGUACCUAUAAUGUAAUUGGUUACUGUAAUCUUGUUCUAUAAUAGGAAAUUAUGCUUCAGCACUUUACUGAUCAAACUAAGGUCUUGUUUUGUUGUUUGCUUGUUUAUGAUAUUAAUGUUGUCCAUGAUCGUCCAUGAUUUCUUUUUUGUAGUAAAUGUUUGUUGUUUUGAUAUUUAUUUUAUGAUGUAAAAAGAUGUAAUUUUUAAACAGUAUCAUAAUCCUUUAUAUAUAUACUGGGGGGUGAGUAAUUGUAUACAUGUAAUGGUGUUUAAAUCAUAAUUCAAUUUAUUCUAUGUCAGCUUAUAAGUACAUGUUAGAUGCAUAUAUGUCUCAGUAGAUACAUUACAUGCAAAAAUUUGUCAUCUUUUUAUGUCCAAAAUCCAUUAAUCUGUCUGCUGUUUCAUGAUGGCCAACAUUUUACUGUGUGAACACAGGUAACCAAGUAAGGAAAUGCAAAUCUAUAAAAAUGCACUCGGAAUUUCUCUGUUGCCUGAUAUUUACUAGAUUUAAAACUGGUGAUCUGAUUUGGGCUGUCAGCACCACAAGGGCCUGAUAGUAUCUUGAUUUCAACUCCAACCCACAGAUUGGCUAUAGCAAAGGGAAUCAUGCUUACCUAUCUGUCUUUGCUCAAGUUAGGAUUUCGUGCUAUUUUCACCUGUUUUAAUUCAAGGGUUGAAUUCUUUAAUUUCAAUUACUUAAAUGUCUGUAUAACAUUAGAAUUUGUAUUUCUGAAAAAUAUCUUCAUUCAAAAUCAUUUACUAGUCAAUUUGUCUACACUAUAUUUAUUUAAAGAUGCAGUUUCUGUAUAUGGCUGUUUACUAUAGGUACCUGUAAUCUCUCUACAAGGUAAAUCUAUGUUUACUAUAGGUACCUGUAAUCUCUCUACAAGGUAAAUCUAUGUUUAUCAUAAAUACCUGUAAUCUCUCUACAAGGUAAAUCUCUGUUUACUAUAGGUACCUGUAAUCUCUCUACAAGGUAAAUCUAUGUUUACUAUAGGUACCUGUAAUCUCUCUACAGGUAAAUCUAUGUUUACUAUAGGUACCUGUAAUCUCUCUACAAGGUAAAUCUAUGUUUACUAUAGGUACCUGUAAUCUCUCUACAAGGUAAAUCUAUGUUUACUAUAGGUACCUGUAAUCUCUCUACAAGGUAAAUCUAUGUUUACUAUAGGUACCUGUAAUCUCUCUACAAGGUAAAUCUAUGUUUACUAUAGGUACCUGUAAUCUCUCUACAAGGUAAAUCUAUGUUUACUAUAGGUACCUGUAAUCUCUCUACAAGGUAAAUCUCUGUUUUCUAUAGGUACCUGUAAUGUCUCUACAAGGUAAAUCUAUGUUUACUACAGGUAACUGUAAUCUCUCUACAAGGUAAAUCUAUGUUUACUAUAGGUACCUGUAAUCUCUCUACAAGGUAAAUCUCUGUUUACUAUAGGUACCUGUAAUCUCUCUACAAGGUAAAUCUAUGUUUACUAUAAAUACCUGUAAUCUCUCUACAAGGUAAAUCUAUGUUUACUAUAGGUACCUGUAAUCUCUCUACAAGGUAAAUCUCUGUUUUCUAUAGGUACCUGUAAUCUCUCUACAAGGUAAAUCUCUGUUUUCUAUAGGUACCUGUAAUCUCUCUACAAGGUAAAUCUAUGUUUACUAUAGGUACCUGUAAUCUCUCUACAAGGUAAAUCUCUGUUUUCUACAGGUACCUGUAAUCUCUCUACAAGGUAAAUCUCUGUUUUCUACAGGUACCUGUAAUCUCUCUACAAGGUAAAUCUCUGUUUUCUACAGGUACCUGUAAUCUCUCUACAAGGUAAAUCUCUGUUUUCUACAGGUACCUGUAAUCUCUCUACAAGGUAAAUCUCUGUUUUCUACAGGUACCUGUAAUCUCUCUACAAGGUAAAUCUCUGUUUUCUACAGGUACCUGUAAUCUCUCUACAAGGUAAAUCUCUGUUUUCUACAGGUACCUGUAAUCUCUCUACAAGGUAAAUCUAUGUUUACUAUAGGUACCUGUAAUCUAUCUACAAGGUAAAUCUCUGUUUACUAUAGGUACCUGUAAUCUCUCUACAAGGUAAAUCUCUGUUUACUAUAGGUACCUGUAAUCUCUCUACAAGGUAAAUCUCUGUUUUCUAUAGGUACCUGUAAUCUCUCUACAAGGUAAAUCUGUUUACUAUUGGUACCUGUAAUCUCUCUACAAGGUAAAUCUCUGUUUACUAUAGGUACCUGUAAUCUCUCUACAAGGUAAAUCUGUUUACUAUAGGUACCUGUAAUCUCUCUACAAGGUAAAUCUGUUUACUAUAGGUACCUGUAAUCUCUCUACAAGGUAAAUCUCUGUUUUCUAUAGGUACCUGUAAUCUCUCUACAAGGUAAAUCUGUUUACUAUAGGUACCUGUAAUCUCUCUACAAGGUAAAUCUCUGUUUACUAUAGGUACCUGUAAUCUCUCUACAAGGUAAAUCUAUGUUUACUAUAGGUACCUGUAAUCUCUCUACAAGGUAAAUCUGUUUACUAUAGGUACCUGUAAUCUAUCUACAAGGUUAAUCUUGGAUAUCCUCAUUUUCUUCAGAAUCUCAACCAGUUUAUGUUUGCUUGCCAAAGGUCAAGGCUACCAUUCCAACUUCUCUUAAUACAGGGUUAUCUGCCCCUGUGAGCAGGUAUUUGUCAUAUAUUCAACAUAGCAAUCAAUAUCUGUUAUUGUGUAAAGCAGAAAAUUUGAUUGUAUGGAGACGGAUUCUUUCGGGCAGAACUAAUUUUAUGCAUCUAGUUUGUGUAUGUUCCCUGUGUCAUUAAUCUCUAUUUGUACACAGCUGUACUAAAGCGAUAGACAUCCUGAUCAUUUGUUGGUAAUCAUGUGGUAAUUUAAUGUAUCUGGGUGAGUGAUUGUGGUCAUAUAUCUAGUCAAGGCAUCUGUAUCACAUUCUCAUUUUACAAUCACAAUUUGCUUUUCUGUUCACAAAUUAGCCACUUCAUUAUUUUAAAAAAAAUAUUAAAAGAGAUAAGAAACUCAUUGAGGAAAAUAAAAUGUAUUAGGAUUGAUAAUAAAACAGGGACAUGUGCCUUGACCUUACCUUAAUCAGUACUUCUAGUAUAUUGGGGAUACAUUCCACUGGACAUAUUCUCUGUACCAAAUCCUUGGUUUACAUACAUAAUUAGGAUAGUGUGAACAGAAGCAGUGAAGAGUAUAAAAACUUCACUUGUAAAUUGUACGGGAAUCUGUAUGCAUUAGGGAGGGGGAAUUAACAGGUCAAACAGGUUGAAAUAUGAAAUAAAUUGCCCUGAUCUGAUUCUGAUUUUUAUGAUGUAAGGGAGAUGGAAUCUAUGCCAAAACAUAUUUACAAUAUUUCACACUGAAAACUAGGGAAUGUUUCUGUAUAUCUUCUACAGACACGUAGAUGUUUGUCUGUAUUUUACAAUAAUUAUUAUUUUGAUCACCACCGCGUAGUACACUAUCAAGAUGUAACAAUAUUAGGACAGGGUAUCAUGUUGCUACUACAUAGAACAUUGUCUAAAUCAUUGUUUUAUCAAAGUGAGUGAUGGAAUAAGUGAAAUGUGAGUAAUUUUGAUGACUGAAGACUGUUGAAUGUUAUGAAUGAAAGAAAAUCUUUGUGUUAGAAAUUGUUGUCAAUGUUUUAUUUUGUACAUUUAAACUUUUUAAAUUUAUUUUAUAUUUUUACCUAAAUAUAGGCAAUGUUUUGUUACAAACCUGUAAUAGAUGAUGACACUUAUA